rnacentral:rRNA from 1 species
UACAGAGGGGGCAAGCGUUGUUCGGAAUUAUUGGGCGUAAAGGGCGCGUAGGCGGCUUGGCAAGUGGAUGGUGAAAUCCCUCGGCUUAACCGAGGAACUGCCGUCCAAACUGCUUCGCUUGAGACCGGGAGAGGUGAGUGGAAUUCCCAGUGUAGCGGUGAAAUGCGUAGAUAUUGGGAGGAACACCAGUGGCGAAGGCGGCUCACUGGACCGGUACUGACGCUGAUGCGCGAAAGCGUGGGGAGCAAACGGG